UUAAUUUUAUUGGAAAGCAAUUCAAAAAGUCAAUUAAUUAAUACAAAUUGAAAUUCCGACCAGAUUUUUCAGCCCCCAAUUUAUUUGUUUAUUACGAUUUCACAAUAACGAACCGGACUUAAUUUGAUCCAAAAUGGAACUGAACCCGUCAUGUCGUGCGGUUUUUAUUUUUAUUUUUUUAAAAUCAUUAAGUCAAGGGAUGAGAAAAGGAAAAACCCCAGCCCCAAAUUAGCAAAGCAAGCCGCCCACUUUUGCAAACUCAUAACUCAAGUUGGCGCCACCCUCACAUAGAUGCAGCACCACCACCACUAGCUGAAUCAGAGCAGAGACGAAGCGGCAGCAGCAGCAGCCGUCGAUUCUCAAUUACAGCAGCAACAGAGCAGAGACGCAAUAGUAAUAGCACACGAAGUCGAGAUGCAACAACAACUUUCUCUCUCAACGCAAUAGCCGAUUUUGCUUGAAGAACUGUGACAGUCAAUUGUGGAUGAAAUACAAGAGUAUUCACGAAGAGAGAGAGAGAGAGAAAGAGAGAGAGCUCUGUGAAUUUGGAUUGAAUUAUCUUUUUUGUUUUCGUUUUACUGGUAUUACAACUUCAGCCGGUUACCCAUUUUUUAACUGUUAAAUCUCAG
rnacentral:lncRNA from 1 species